rnacentral:ncRNA from 1 species
CAUCUCACCUCGGGGUGCCCCAAACAGGGCUGAGAUUUGCACCAUGCAUGAACCCGUUGAACCUGAACCGGUUAGGACCGGCGGAGGGAAGGGAUAGGGCGCAUCG